rnacentral:tRNA from 1 species
GCCCGGGUGGUGGAAUGGUAUACACGCACGACUUAAAAUCGUGUGCCGUAAGGCUUGUGGGUUCGAGUCCCACCCCGGGCACCA